AGAGUUUGAUUCAUGGCUCAGGAUGAACGCUAGCGGCAGGCUUAAUACAUGCAAGGCGAGGGGGCAGCAAUGUCACCGUCGUACGGGUGCGUAACGCGUAUGCAACCUACCUUCAACUGGGGGAUAGCCCGGGGAAACCCGGAUUAAUACCGCAUAAUACAGGGGGCUCACAUGAGUCUAUUUGUUAAAGAUUUAUUGGUUGAAGAUGGGCAUGCGUUCGAUUAGCUAGUUGGCAGGGUAACGGCCUACCAAGGCGACGAUCGAUAGGGGAGCUGAGAGGUUGAUCCCCCACACGGGCACUGAGAUACGGGCCCGACUCCUACGGGAGGCAGCAGUAGGGAAUAUUGGGCAAUGGAUGCAAGUCUGACCCAGCCAUGCCGCGUGCCGGAUGAAGGCCCUCAGGGUUGUAAACGGCUUUUAUUCGGGAAGAAGAGCAGGGAUGCGUCCUUGUGUGACGGUACCGAAGAAUAGCUCGGC
rnacentral:rRNA from 1 species